rnacentral:other from 1 species
ACGGUUAUAAAUCAACAUAUUGAUUUAUAAGCAUGGAAAUCCCCUGAGUGAAACAACGAAUUGCUGUGUGUAGUCUUUGCCCAUCUCCCACGAUGG